ACAUUGGGACUGAGACACGGCCCAGACUCCUACGGGAGGCAGCAGUGGGGAAUAUUGCACAAUGGGGGAAACCCUGAUGCAGCGACGGCUGCGUGGAGGAAGAAGGUCUUCGGAUUGUAAACUCCUGUUGUUGAGGAAGAUAAUGACGGUACUCAACAAGGAAGUGACGGCUAACUACGUGCCAGCAGCCGCGGUAAAACGUAGGUCACAAGCGUUGUCCGGAAUUACUGGGUGUAAAGGGAGCGCAGGCGGGAAGACAAGUUGGAAGUGAAAUCUAUGGGCUCAACCCAUAAACUGCUUUCAAAACUGUUUUUCUUGAGUAGUGCAGAGGUAGGCGGAAUUCCCGGUGUAGCGGUGGAAUGCGUAGAUAUCGGGAGGAACACCAGUGGCGAAGGCGGCCUACUGGGCACCAACUGACGCUGAGGCUCGAAAGUGUGGGUAGCAAACAGGAUUAGAUACCCUGGUAGUCCACACCGUAAACGAUGAUUACUAGGUGUUGGAGGAUUGACCCCUUCAGUGCCGCAGUUAACACAAUAAGUAAUCCACCUGGGGA
rnacentral:rRNA from 1 species